rnacentral:rRNA from 1 species
AGUGAACGCUGGCGGUAGGCCUAACACAUGCAAGUCGAACGGCAGCACAGUAAGAGCUUGCUCUUACGGGUGGCGAGUGGCGGACGGGUGAGGAAUACAUCGGAAUCUACUUUUUCGUGGGGGAUAACGUAGGGAAACUUACGCUAAUACCGCAUACGACCUACGGGUGAAAGCAGGGGAUCUUCGGACCUUGCGCGAUUGAAUGAGCCGAUGUCGGAUUAGCUAGUUGGCGGGGUAAAGGCCCACCAAGGCGACGAUCCGUAGCUGGUCUGAGAGGAUGAUCAGCCACACUGGAACAGAGACACGGUCCAGACUCCUACGGGAGGCAGCAGUGGGGAAUAUUGGACAAUGGGCGCAAGCCUGAUCCAGCCAUACCGCGUGGGUGAAGAAGGCCUUCGGGUUGUAAAGCCCUUUUGUUGGGAAAGAAAAGCAGCAGGUUAAUACCCCGCUGUUCUGACGGUACCCAAGGAAUAAGCACCGGCUAACUUCGUG